rnacentral:rRNA from 1 species
CCUACGGGAGGCAGCAGUGAGGAAUAUUGGUCAAUGGGCGGAAGCCUGAACCAGCCAAGUAGCGUGCAGGAUGACGGCCCUACGGGUUGUAAACUGCUUUUAUACGGGAAUAACGCGCCUUACGUGUACGGCUUUGCGUGUACCGUAUGAAUAAGGACCGGCUAAUUCCGUGCCAGCAGCCGCGGUAAUACGGAGGGUCCGGGCGUUAUCCGGAUUUAUUGGGGUUAAAGGGAGCGUAGGCGGCCUGUCAAGUGUGCUGUGAAAUUUGCGGGCUCAACCCUGGCCUUGCAGCGCGAACUGGCGGGCUUGAGUCCGCGGAAAGCAGGCGGAAGUCGUGGUGUAGCGGUGAAAUGCUUAGAUAUGACGCAGAACCCCGAUUGCGAAGGCAGCUUGCUGCAGCGGAACUGACGCUGAUGCUCGAAAGCGCGGGUAUCGAACAGGAUUAGAUACCCCAGUAGUC